AUUGAACGCUGGCGGCAGGCCUAACACAUGCAAGUCGAGCGGAGCGGCGGACGGGGGAGGAAUGCCUAGGAAUCUGCCAGGUAGCGAGGGAUAACGUCCGGAAACGGGCACGAAUACCGCAUACUAUCAGAUUAGCCUAGGUCGGGUUAGGUUGUGGGGGGGGUAAAGGCCUACCAAGGCCACGAUCCGUAACUGGUCUGAGAGGAUGCUCAGUCACACUGGAACUGAGACACGGUCCAGACUCCGACGGGAGGCAGCAGGGGGGAAUAUUGGACAAUGGGCGAAAGCCUGAGCCAGCCAUGCCGCGUGUGUGAAGAAGGUCUUCGGAUUGUAAAGCACUUUAAGUUGGGAGGCGUUACCCACAGAAUAAGCACCGGCUAACUUCGUGCCAGCAGCCGCGGUAAUUC
rnacentral:rRNA from 1 species